rnacentral:lncRNA from 1 species
UGUGUGUGUGAUAGAGCUCUGUAAUGUGGGGGUGCUCGUAAUGGGAUGGGUGUGGUGUGUGAUAGAGCUCUGUAUGUGGGGGUGCUCAGUAAUGGGUGGAGUGUGGGUGUGUGAUAGAGCUCUGUAAUGUGGGGGUGCUCAGUAAUGGGAUGGAGUGUGUGUGUGAUAGAGCUCUGUAAUGUGGGGGUGCUCAGUAAUGGGAUGGUGUGUGUGUGUGAUAGAGCUCUGUAAUGUGGGGUGCUCAGUAAUGGGAUGGUUUUGUGUGUGUGAUAGAGCUCUGUAUGUGGGGGUGCUCAGUAAUGGGAUGGUGUGUGUGUGAUAGAGCUCUGUAAGUGGGGGGUGCUCCGUAAUGGGAUGGAGUGUGUGUGUGAUAGAGCUCUGUAAUGUGGGGGUGCUCAGUAAUGGGAUGGUGGUGUGUGUGUGUGUUGUGAUAGAGCUCUGUAUGUGGGGGUGCUCAGUUGGAUGGAGUGUGUGUGUUGUGUGUGAUAGGCUCUGUAUGUGGGGGUGCUCAGUAAUGGGAUGGAGUGUGUGUGUGUGUGUGAUAGAGCUCUGUAAUGUGGGGUUCUCGUAAUGGGAUGGAGUGUGUGUUGUGAUAGAGCUCUGUAAUGUGGGGGUGCUCAGUAAUGGGAUGGAGUGUGUGUGUGUGUGUGUGGUGUGAUAGAGCUCUGUAAUGUGGGGGUGCUCAGUAAUGGGAUGGAGUGUUUGUGUGAUAUGAGGCUCUGUAAGUGGGGUGCUCAGUAAUGGGAUGGGGGUGGUGUGUGUGUAGAGCUCUGUAAUGUGGGGGUGCCUAUAAUGGGAUGGAGUGUGUGUGUG